GAACUCCCACUUGUAAGUUACCAUUUACAAAUCUAUGGAUAAUUUCUAUUGGAUAUGACAAUUUGCCUUUUGUUAUGUUUGUCUUGCUGGUCUUGUAUACAUUUGCACUGGUGGAACACGUUUUAUUCGUAUCCGUUUUGGAUUUUGUUAGCUUAAAGCACCACAAUCCAUAGCUAAGAAAACGUGAGAGAUCAAGUUCUAGAGAAAAAAACAAAAGCUGGAGCAAGAUUCAGAUUUGUGGAAGUAAAGCUUUUCAUGGUAAUUCAACAAAACCAUUUUCAGGUCUUGGUUUCUAUUGUUUUGAACUUAUAUAGUAUGUUUUACAAGUUUUUGUUGUCUUCUCAAAUCAGACGCAAAUAAUGUCGCGGCGUGCCUCUCAAGU